GCGCCAUGGGCGUAGAGUUCUAUUCACACAGCCCGCACGAUUCAAACAAAAUAACAAUUAAAGAACAAAAACCUGCAACAAAUAGAUUCGUUCUUCGUUCUUAACGUUAUGUCGCACUUGAAACCCUAGCGAGGGAUUGCAGGUAUGGAAGAUUCUGAUCAGGCAAAGGUUUACUGGCCAUUUGAGUUGGAUCAAUUCAAUCUCUCCGGUUAGUGCGGGGCAGAAGAGUGAUUCGAUAAUCAAUAGAAAGAUAUUGAUUGAUCCAUGGCCAAAUGAAAAAAGCCUUGUCGCUAGGGAUUCCUUUCUUCCCUUCGGAUUCUUUCUUAUUUUUGAAACAUCUACCGUUUUGUUAAUGUGUUCUUGUGUCUCUGUUCUGUGCGUUGUUUUUUUUUUUGGAACGUUUUCCACUUUC
rnacentral:misc_RNA from 1 species